AAGUCGUAACAAGGUAACCGUAGGUGAACCUGCGGUUGGAUCAUUAAACAAGGUUUAAUCCUUACUGGUGAAGGGUGGCCGUCUCGCUGGGGACCUUCCAGGUCUCUUCCGGGUCGUGUCACCGCAUCGGUGACAUUUUGUGAACCCUCAAACCGUCCGGCGGGGGAGGAACUUCAAUGGGAGGCUCUCCAGGGCUUCCUGUUCCUCCGUCAGUGCAGGCAGUCUCUCCGUCUCCGUCUGCACCGUGGACAACCCGCCCACCCCAACCCUUCCACCUUGGUGAAGGGGUUGGUCUUUGCCCAACUUUUUGGAUCAUUUCUGAUUGUGACAUGUCUCUGAGAAUGCGACGGAGCAAUUGCGCCGUCUUUUGGAAACAAAAACAUUCAAAAACAACUUUUGGCAACGGAUCUCUUGGCUCUC
rnacentral:misc_RNA from 1 species